GACGAACGCUGGCGGCGUGCCUAAUACAUGCAAGUCGAACGCUUCUUUCCUCCCGAGUGCUUGCACUCAAUUGGAAAGAGGAGUGGCGGACGGGUGAGUAACACGUGGGUAACCUACCCAUCAGAGGGGGAUAACACUUGGAAACAGGUGCUAAUACCGCAUAACAGUUUAUGCCGCAUGGCAUAAGAGUGAAAGGCGCUUUCGGGUGUCGCUGAUGGUUGGACCCGCGGUGCAUUAGCUAGUUGGUGAGGUAACGGCUCACCAAGGCCACGAUGCAUAGCCGACCUGGGAGGGUGAUCGGCCACACUGGGACUGAGACACGGCCCAGACUCCUACGGGAGGCAGCAGUAGGGAAUCUUCGGCAAUGGACGAAAGUCUGACCGAGCAACGCCGCGUGAGUGAAGAAGGUUUUCGGAUCGUAAAACUCUGUUGUUAGAGAAGAACAAGGACGUUAGUAACUGAACGUCCCCUGACGGUAUCUAACCAGAAAGCCACGGCUAACUACGUG
rnacentral:rRNA from 1 species